GAGUGACGAUGUUUGUGUUGUAGAAUGGCUGUCUGCUGUUAGUUUAGUGUGAAUACUGGUUUCAUUCGUUGUUUUAAUCACAAGAAGUCACUGUGUUGUUAUUUUUCGUGAAGUGUAAUCCUUACUGUGAGUAAUUAAACGUAUCUUGUAUAUUAUGAAAGAUUAUAAACGAGUUUACUCUGAAGAAUCAGUGCCCCGUUGAUAACUAACCUGUUGUACGAGUUGAACAUUAUUCACCAACUGUGAUCUGUUCUCAUUGAGACAUAACAGUAGGCUGUGUUGUGAAUCUUUAUGCACAUUCGAACUCUGAAAGGAUCUUACAAGUGGAUCUGUCGGCUGUUGUGGCCGGGCUCUCGUCGGUGUGACUGACCGGCCGCUUGGAGUCGAAAUAUGGGUCGGAGUUCUGAGACAUGUUGACGGCUGUCUCUCGCGUUUCAGCUUAUCCGCCAUGAGGUCCCUUGAGCUGCCUAGACGCAGUGCUGGCUGUGCGUUGAACUGCGCGCGCCGGCGUAGCCUGUACCGACCUCUCUAGUCCAUCCGGCCGGUUCAUCGUAGAAACCCGUGCGUCGGUGGCGCCAGCUGAGAUGCGUCCUGGCCGCGGACUUCGCGUGGCGAUGGCAACGCCUGCCAUAGGAC